GUUGUCUAGAGAGGUGGUUCACUGUAGUAAUGACAUGUUGUCUAGAGAGGUGGUUCACUGUAGUAAUGACAUGUUGUCUAGAGAGGUGGUUCACUGUAGUAAUGACAUGUUGUCAGAGAGGUGGUUCACUGUAGUAAUGACAUGUUGUCAGAGAGGUGGUUCACUGUAGUAAUGACAUGUUGUCUAGAGAGGUGGUUCACUGUAGUAAUGACAUGUUGUCAGAGAGGUGGUUCACUGUAGUAAUGACAUGUUGUCUAGAGAGGUGGUUCACUGUAGUAAUGACAUGUUGUCAGAGAGGUGGUUCACUGUAGUAAUGACGUGUUGUCAGAGAGGUGGUUCACUGUAGUAAUGACAUGUUGUCAGAGAGGUGGUUCACUGUAGUAAUGACAUGUUGUCUAGAGAGGUGGUUCACUGUAGUAAUGACAUGUUGUCUAGAGAGGUGGUUCACUGUAGUAAUGACAUGUUGUCUAGAGAGGUGGUUCACUGUAGUAAUGACAUGUUGUCAGAGAGGUGGUUCACUGUAGUAAUGACAUGUUGUCUAGAGAGGUGGUUCACUGUAGUAAUGACAUGUUGUCAGAGAGGUGGUUCACUGUAGUAAUGACAUGUUGUCAGAGAGGUGGUUCACUGUAGUAAUGACAUGUUGUCUAGAGAGGUGGUUCACUGUAGUAAUGACAUGUUGUCUAGAGAGGUGGUUCACUGUAGUAAUGACAUGUUGUCUAGAGAGGUGGUUCACUGUAGUAAUGACAUGUUGUCAGAGAGGUGGUUCACUGUAGUAAUGACAUGUUGUC